GCCCACUGCGCCAGCGCUGAGCCUGCCAGGGCUGGGGCUGGGGAUCACCUUGGGAUGAUGGUGUCAGUCCCAGGGGGCAGGAGAUCGAGUGUCCUCUGAGCUGGCGACUGGGCCUGUAGAAGGGAACCGGCAUUUGUGGAGUGUCUACUGAGUGCCAAGCUGCCCCCAGGGAGCUCUGCUGCCCUUGCUGGCCCUGCCCUUCCCACAGGUGAGCAGGGCUCCUGUCCACCAGCACACUCAGUUCUCUUCCCUGCAGUGUUUUCAUUUUAUUUUAGCCAAACAUUUUGCCUGUUUUCUGUUUCAAACAUGAUAGUUGAUAUGAGACUGAAACCCCUGGGUUGUGGAGGGAAAUUGGCUCAGAGAUGGACAACCUGGCAACUGUGAGUCCCUGCUUCCCGACACCAGCCUCAUGGAAUAUGCAACAACUCCUGUACCCCAGUCCACGGUGUUCUGGCAGCAGGGACACCUGGGCCAAUGGGCCAUCUGGACCAAAGGUGGGGUGUGGGGCCCUGGAUGGCAGCUCUGGCCCAGACAUGAAUACCUCGUGUUCCUCCUCCCUCUAUUACUGUUUCACCAGAGCUGUCUUAGCUCAAAUCUGUUGUGUUUCUGAGUCUAGGGUCUGUACACUUGUUUAUAAUAAAUGCAAUCGUUUGGAGCUGCUGCCCCCUUUCUUCCUGGCCUCGGCUGCUGGAAUUGGAAUCAGGCUGUACUCUUUCCAUCCAUUUGGGCUUCU
rnacentral:lncRNA from 10 species